AGUGAACGCUGGCGGUAGGCCUAACACAUGCAAGUCGAACGGCAGCACAGUAAGAGCUUGCUCUUACGGGUGGCGAGUGGCGGACGGGUGAGGAAUACAUCGGAAUCUACUUUUUCGUGGGGGAUAACGUAGGGAAACUUACGCUAAUACCGCAUACGACCUACGGGUGAAAGCAGGGGAUCUUCGGACCUUGCGCGAUUGAAUGAGCCGAUGUCGGAUUAGCUAGUUGGCGGGGUAAAGGCCCACCAAGGCGACGAUCCGUAGCUGGUCUGAGAGGAUGGUCAGCCACACUGGAACUGGGACACGGUCCAGACUCCUACGGGAGGCAGCAGUGGGGAAUAUUGGACAAAGGGCGCAAGCCUGAUCCAGCCAUACCGCGUGGGUGAAGAAGGCCUUCGGGUUGUAAAGCCCUUUUGUUGGGAAAGAAAAGCAGCAGGUUAAUACCCCGCUGUUCUGACGGUACCCAAAGAAUAAGCACCGGCUAACUUCGUG
rnacentral:rRNA from 1 species